AUUGAACGCUGGCGGCAGGCCUAACACAUGCAAGUCGAAAGGAGUGGCGGACGGGUGAGUAAUGUAUGGGAACCUGCCUGAUGGAGGGGGAUAACUACUGGAAAAGGUAGCAAAUACCGCAUACUAUUAGAUGAGCCUAGGUCGGAUUAGCUAGUUGGUGGGGUAAAGGCCUACCAAGGCGACGCUCCGUAACUGGUCUGAGAGGAUGAUCAGUCACACUGGAACUGAGACACGGUCCAGACUCCUACGUGAGGCAGCAGUGGGGAAUAUGGGACAAUGGGCGAAAGCCUGAUCCAGCCAUGCCGCGUGUGUGAAGAAGGUCUUCGGAUUGUAAAGCACUUUAAGUUGGGAGGCGUUACCAACAGAAUAAGCACCGGCUAACUCCGUGCCAGCAGCCGCGGUAAUUC
rnacentral:rRNA from 1 species